ensembl:lncRNA
UAAGAGAGGCUGGUGAGGGAACACCCUAUUCGGGGUGUACCCCGCCUUGUGCCCCAUACCUCGUGGGAUAGGCUCCAAGUUCCCCGCGAUCCUGAAGGAAAAUUGGUAUAGAAGAUGAACAGAUGGUGAGGGAACGACUGUUUAUAGCUGCUAAAACGUGUAUUUAAACAAUUAAUAGCUCUGAAUGUCUACUCUUGGCUUAAGCUCUGGGUUUCACCUGUGAAGACGGCUUUUGUUAUUAAAAAGGAUAAACCAACAUGAAGACCAGAAAGCUGUCUAUGGGAGAAAAGCGAGCCAUUCUGAAGCCAAGAGGGGAAAUCUAACAGCCAUUGCACAAGCUUUGGGCAUAGCCAAUACAACUAUUUGGAAUAUACUAACAACCAGGCAUUGAUCAGGUCAACCACGAAAAAACAGCAGCAGUUGAUGACAAACAUUGAGAGGAAAACACUGUGAAGAAAAAACCCAAAAACAAUCGUCACCAACAACCUUCACAGGGCAGGGGUGAGGGUAGCAUAAUCUACCAUUUGAAGAAAACUUCAAGAGCAGAAAUACGAAGGCCAUACCACAAGAUGCAAAAUCACUCAUCAGCAGUAAGAAUCAGAAAGCCAUAUUGGAAUUCACAAAGAAAUAUAGAGACGAGCCACAAGAUUUUAUACUGGCCAAGUCAAUCACUAGACCUUAACCCAAACUGAACAGCUUUUCACCUCUUGAAGAGGAGACUGAAGGAAGAACUCCCCUGUAACAAUCAAAAACUGAAAGAAGCUGCAGUACAAGCCUGUGCGUCAGUGGGUUUCAUGCAGUUAUUGCAAGCAACGGAUAUGCAACCAAAUAAGUGUUCCUUACUUUCAAUUCUGUUCCUAUACUUUUGUUGCCUAAAAAUUGGGUGCCAUGUUCCAAGUUAUUUAACACUUCUAGAUAUAAAUAUCAGGAAAUGAAACUGAUAUAAAUGAUCGAUCGUCUUGUAUUCAUCUUUUGAUCUCAAACCCAAAGCAGAAGAAUUCGUCUUGCCCUUCCGAUACUUUUGGAAGGGACUCUAUAUUAUUUUUGUCUCUUUUUGGUCCAUCAUACAGUCAUAUCUCUAGGACACUGCGUGCUGUUGCUUUCACACUGAUUAAGAGUGAGCGCAGCAUAGGUAAAGUCUGAAACCUUAGGCAAGCUUGCGCUUGCUGGUAUUUCCAGUUGAAUGACAAAAGAAAGCAGAUGAAACUUUAAUGGAGAGCUACACAUUUUAAUAAAACACAGAACAGUCUCGGGAAGUUUCUCAUUAUGUUCAUACUAGAGCACAUACUGUACACAGACCGCAUUCCUGACACCUGUAUGUUGCUACAUUUGUGAGGCAUCGUUUGUAAUGUGCACACGGUUUUUCAUGACAGCAUUUAGUUUUACAGAAAGAAGGCAAGAGAUGGCACUUUUAGAGAUACAACAAAAUAAAGGAAUAAUGCUGUCAUGACAAAAAAUAAUCCUCUUCAUUUAGGCCUAGCAUCUAUAUCAUUAAGGCAAUGUUCAGUUUGGCACAGCUCUUUUGUGUUUAAAAAAACAAAACAAAUUUUAUUCACCCUACAGACAGGAUACAAUAAUACAACGUUGUGAUAUUUUGACACCUUGAUCCACGUCAUGAUCAACGUCUAUGCUGAAUUGGCACAAUACUCUGCAAAUAUUAAUGUGAACAUAAUACCCAAGUACACUGAUGAUACUGUCUAGUGCAUCACUUAUUAAUACCAUGCAAAUAAUCAAAUACUUACUCUUCUUUAAAUAGUAAUGUGAACCAUUGCCUACAGGCACAUCGAAGCAGAUGGGAAUCCAAACCCAGUGUUCAUUUCAAGUGUAAACUAACCAACAAAAAUAAGCUAAGCGACUUAGCAAGCCCAUCAUCUGCAGUGCAACAAUAAAAAUAAAUUGUCGAUAGUGACCAUUUUGAAGCAACCCAAUGCAAAAAAAAAAGACUUUCUAGAAACCCGAAAUUGCCAAAACCAGUUGGGAAAAGAUCCCGCCAGGUCAGGUGGAGUUCACGGAGACAAAAACCCAAGCAGGAAAAACGCUGCUGUAAACACAAACACAUUCUACAGUGUCACACCAAACGGACAUGAUGGGUAUUGAAAAUAAAACACUCAAAAUCCAGUAGCAUAAAUCUUCUCUCUAGAAGGGUUCAGCGUUACGAUAAUGAUUCGGGCAAGCCACAGGUCAAGCGGAAUUCAGAAGAAGAUGGUAGCGAUGCUGUUGGCUUACAGGGUGGACACAUCACUAGUGCAGGACAAGUGAAUUACAACUCCA